GUCUUUCAUUUUCGGGUAUUUUGCAUCAAAAGAAAAAUCUUAAACGAGGUACAGGCGCAAAUUUAAUUUCUUUAGAACCCUAGAACCUCUUCACUAAAAAAAAUAAAAAAAUAAAAUUCCAGAACCUCUCAUACGCAAAUUCGUGGCUCAUACGCAAAUUCGUGGCUCAUACGCUAAUUCCAAAGCUCGAAUUGCAGGUUGAAAGUGGAUAUCUUCGUUAGUACAGCUUAGUCAAUUGUUUGAUUAGCAUUCUUCAUGGACGCUGACCGUUCUGGUUCAAGGCAUGAAAGAAGUGAAGACAGGUAUCAAGCUGACUCCCCAGUAAGAGAGUCCACAGAAGGAGCUUUUGGUGAUUCAGAUGAAUAUGAUAAAGAUAGAUCUAGAGAAUCGAGCAAGCACAGAAGUAAGGAUAAGAAGAAAAGCCGGAGAGAGGACAAGGAUCAUAGAAGCAGAGACAAAGAUCGUUCAAAGGCAAAGGAUGAGCUUAAAGAAAGAGAGGUGAAAGAGGAUUCUGAAAAAGAAAGAAUAUCUACUAAGGAAAAGAGGAAAGAAGAUAGGGAAGAACAUGAGAAGGAUAGAGCAAAAGAUAAAAAGAGGGAGAAAGACCAUGACAAGGAUAAGCAUAGAGGGAAAGAUCACGAUAGAGAUAGAGAUAGAGAUGAAAAGGAUCGAGGAAGAAAAAAAGAUCGUGAAAGAGAGCGAGAUUCUGAAUUGGAUAGUAACAGAGGUCGAGAAAAGGAUGGAUUCAAAGAAAAAAGCAAGGAGAAGGAAGAGAGAGAAAAGGAGAAAGCAAAAGAUAGAAACAGAGGGAAAGAUAAAGAAAGAACAAAGGAGAAAGAAAGGACUAGAGACCGAGAGAGAGAUCACGAGAAGAAUAAGGAUAGAGAUUUGCUGGAUAGGGAGCAAAUAAAAGAUAUUAAUAGAGAAAAAGAGAGUGAGGUAGAUCGUGAAAAAGAGAGAUCCAGGGACAAGGAAAAAGUUGGUAGAAGAAGUCGAGAGGAUCAACAUCAGAGCAAGGAUGGGGGAAGAGACUCUAAGGCUACAAAAGAUGGCGAUGACAACAGGGAGAGGGAUAACUUCGAGCUGGCCGAUGCAUCUCUUGAGGAGGGCACAGGUAUGGUCAAGCAAGGGAGUUAUGUUGAAGAUCUAUCAGUGGUACCAAAUCAGUCUCGAAAGGAGGUUGUUGACCGUAUCUCGAGGAUGAAAGAUGAAAGACUGAGAAAAAAGCCUGAAGGUGCCUCCGAAAUUUUGUCCUGGGUCAAUAGAAGCCGUAAAAUUGAGGAAAAGAGGAAUUCAGAAAAGACGAAAGCUUUGCGAAGAUCAAAGAUUUUUGAGGAGCAGGAUAAUCUUAAUGAAGAUGUCAACGAAUAUUCCAGAGAAACUGCAGAUGCUUUGGCGGGAGUCAAGGUUCUUCAUGGGAUUGACAAAGUUUUGGAAGGGGGUGCAGUUGUUUUGACACUCAAAGAUCAGGAUAUACUUGCCAACGGUGAUUUGAAUGAAGACAUGGAUAUGCUUGAAAAUGUGGAAAUCGGAGAGCAGAAGCGGAGGAGUGAAGCUUACCAAGCGGCAAAGAAGAGUACAGGAAUAUAUGAUGAUAAGUUCAAUGAUGUGCCUGGGGAAGAGAAAAAGAUGCUUCCACAAUAUGAUGAUCAUGCUGAGGAGGGGGUGGUCUUAGAUGCUGCUGGGCGGUUCACUGGUGAAGCAGAAAAGAAAUUGGAAGAGCUCCGCAGAAGGCUUCAGGGUCCAUCCAUGAUAAAUCAAGCUGAGGAUUUGAAUUCAUCUGUACGGAAAUCUUCAGAUUUCUAUACACCUGAGGAAAUGCUUCAAUUUAGGAAACCCAAAAAAAAGAAAUCAUUACGUAAAAAGGAGAAGUUUGACCUAGAUGCCCUUGAAGCGGAAGCAAGAUCCACUGGUUUGGGCUCUACAGAUCUUGGUUCACGCAGUGAUACUAAAAGGCAGGUUGCUAGAGAGGAAGAAGAAAGAUCUGAGGCUGAGAGGCGAAAGACUGCGUACCAAACUGCCUUUGCAAAAGCUGAUGAGGCAUCUAAGGCUCUUCGCAUGGAGCAGGCUGUUACUCUUGCGAAGGAAGAAAAUGAUACUCUUGCUUUCGCAGAUGAUGCUGAGGAUCUUCAGUUGUCUUUGGAAAGAGCAAGAAAAUUAGCUCUAAAAAAACAAAAUGAAAAAGUGCUAUCUGUAUCGGAGGCAGUUGCUCGUCUGGCAUCUUCAGUUAUAAAAAAUAAACCCACCGACGCCGAAAAUUCAGUUCCUGAGGAUGCUUCAAAUAAGAAGGUUGUCUUUACUGAGAUGGAGGAGUUUGUCUGGGGUCUUCAGCUAGAUGAAGAGGAUCAAAAGCCAAACCAUGAAGACGUGUUUAUGGAGGAAGAUGAAGCACCAAGAGCUUCUGAGGAGAUGAAAGAUGAAGGUGGCGGUUGGGCAGAGGUCGUUGAAUCUGUAAAGGAUGAAAAUCCCAUGACUGAAGAUACAGAGGACGUCAUGCCAGAUAAAACGCUCCAUGAAGUUCCUGUUGGCAAAGGAUUGUCUGGUGCACUUCAGUUGCUAAAAGAUCGGGGCACACUCAAAGAAACUAUCGAAUGGGGCGGAAGAAAUAUGGACAAGAAAAAGAGCAAGUUGGUUGGGAUCUAUGAUGAAGACGGGCCUAAGGAGGUACAUAUGGACAAGAAAAAGGGUAAGCUGGUUGGCGCCUCUGAUGAAGCAUAUAAGGAGAUACAUUUGGAGAGAACGGAUGAAUUUGGAAGAAUUUUGACUCCAAAACAAGCCUUUCGCUUGCUUUCUCAUAAAUUUCAUGGAAAAGGGCCUGGCAAAAUGAAACAAGAAAAGCGGAUGAAACAGUACUAUGAUGAACUGAAGCUGAAGCAAAUGACGUCCUCGGAUUUGCUUCCACAGUCUGUGGAAAGAAUGAGAGAUGCUCAAGCUCAAUUGAAAACGCCCUAUCUUGUUCUCAGUGGGAAUGUGAAACCUGGGCAAACAAGUGAUCCUAGAAGUGGCUUUGCAACUGUAGAAAAGGAGGUGCCUGGAAGCUUGACACCUAUGCUUGGUGAUAGAAAGGUCGAGCACUUCUUGGGAAUCAAGCGGAAAGCUGAACCUGGAUCUUCAGGCACACCAAAGAAACCCAAAACCUGAUUUUGCUCAUUUGUUCAAUGAUUGAAAAACUGGAUUCAUUACUUUGGAGAAUUUCCAAAUUCAAUAGGCUCCUUUCAACUCCAUCACAGUAGUCCUCUCUCAGUCUCUCUCAUGGAAUGAGAUUUUCUCUCAUGUACUGACAGUAUUAUUUAUGUGUUUUUAAGGCAUGUAAUUUGGCCAUCGAAGUUGUGAUUUCUGCGGCGCUUGUUGUAGCUAUAUAUAUGUCUCAGAUGUCGUCAAAAGUAGCAUUCUACCUCUUUUAUCCCAUGAUAUUGGUUAUGGCUAAGUCCCUCUUAUUUGCAUUGUUUUUACACAUCUUGCAAUUUAUGCUGACUUUCUAUUUACCUUUUUUAUGUUUCCCUUCUUUGCCCAACGUUUUUGUUUUGUAUAUAUAGUUUCAUUGUAUUUUACUGAUGUUCUUUAACAGAAAUGCUCUGACAUGCUGUGUUUGGGAAGGAUGCGAUGGAUGGUUCCAUGACUGGCCUAAUCAGUAGUAGCAUAUUGGUGGCUAGUAUGGCUUUAGUGAUGCCGCUUGGUUCAAUUUGUGAAGCCACCCUUUAUAGCUGGAAAUAUUCUAUAAGUUGGAAUUAUUAUCGGAAGAUUGCUUGUAGUUGGAAUAUAUUUUGAUAAUUUUCCUUAAACUAAUGUGGAACACACAAAUUAUGCGUAA